GCUAGAAAUCGCUGACCUUGCCUCAUACUGCAGAGCAACAGUCCUGGCAUGAGCGCAGCAGGGUGGGCAGGGGCUCCAGGGAUGCUCGCAGGAUCGUUUGAAGUGAGAAAUGCUAAGCCUGCCAUAUUUAACGGCCGGUCUGGGAGUAUGGCUGGAACGGAAAGCGGCACUUCCCCUUGACUCUCGCAUGCCCUAUAACACUGCCUCGGGCCUUGCUAAGUGGUGACUUCAUUCUCGCUGAGGAUGGGGCCACGGAACCAGCAGAGAGUCUCAGAAGACCCUGUCCUGCUGAGCCUGAGGAUUUCUUUCUUUCCCCCUCUUACUUGUAAAGACAUUGGCCUUUCUUCAUGGGGGUCUCUAAGGUUCUUGGGUGCUAUGAACAGCAACAGAAAGUGUUCAAAUAGCCCUAGUGAGAGGACAGGAGGAAGGGGCAGUCUCUAAUGGAACCUGGUGCCCUGGUAAAAGCCUGGGUCCCGGGACCUCUUUCCCCUGUUGCUAGCUGCCUUUUUAGAGUCGAAUCUCUCUGACUGGCCUAGGCGGCUAAUUGGAAGUUCUCCUUCUACACGGUGCUCUUGGAUGAAAGGCUCUCUCAGUUCCUGGGGAUGGCGGUGGGCAGGGAUGUCAAUCAGAUCCUGUGAUUACAUUUGAGCUUGGCUCCAGGUCUUUUGGGAGCUGCGCC
rnacentral:lncRNA from 1 species